UACGGAGGGGGUUAGCGUUGUUCGGAAUGACUGGGCGUAAAGCGCGCGUAGGCGGAUCAGGAAGUUGGGGGGUGAAAUCCCGGGGCUCAACCCCGGAAUGGCCUUCAAAACUCCUGGUCUUGAGUUCGAGAGAGGUGAGUGGAAUUCCGAGUGUAGAGGUGAAAUUCGUAGAUAUUCGGAGGAACACCAGUGGCGAAGGCGGCUCACUGGCUCGACACUGACGCUG
rnacentral:rRNA from 1 species